rnacentral:lncRNA from 1 species
GCCGGGCACCAGCAGGAGACGAGUGUCCACAGGCCGCAUGAUCUCCGACUAGAUGUUCCAGGACAGAGAGGGGAUUCCAGGCCAACAAACAGGCCUUUCACCCUGGGCUCAGCCUUCUGGCUAGUAGGAAGCUCGGUGAUCAGGGACAGGCUGAAAGGAAGUAAAAAUCUAUUCUCUCUCUUGUUCUCCAGGCCUUUCACUCGAAGUGUGCACCUGACAGCCACCCCAGUCCUUAGGGUGGAGGUCUGCAGGCCCUGGCUCCUAUAUUCACUGCCUCUCUGACAGAGACCCUCUAAAUGGAAGGAGUAUGUUCUGGCCCCAGUGACAGCAGUUGGCCAUGCUUUGGCAAGUAUGAGUGUACAUUAACCGCAGCAGGUCCGUGGCCUGUGCCAUUUCUGGGCCGAAACUUAAAGAAUCAACAGGCAGUCUCAUGAUUGUACUUCUCCAAUGCUGUGCUGGUAAAUAUUUAAUAAACAACUCUUCCAAAGCAAAAAGUAUUUGUCAAGUUUGAUGGUAUGAAUGCUUCCCACCAUAACUGAUUUCAGACUGUGUGACACUUUCAAGCAUGGCAUUGGAAAGCGACAUAUACUAUAAACGUUCUCAAAUGUAAGCUGGCUGCAGCAC